UGGGGAAUAUUGGACAAUGGGCGAAAGCCUGAUCCAGCAAUGCCGCGUGAGUGAUGAAGGCCUUAGGGUUGUAAAGCUCUUUUACCCGGGAUGAUAAUGACAGUACCGGGAGAAUAAGCCCCGGCUAACUCCGUGCCAGCAGCCGCGGUAAUACGGAGGGGGCUAGCGUUGUUCGGAAUUACUGGGCGUAAAGCGUACGUAGGCGGCUUUGUAAGUUAGAGGUGAAAGCCCGGGGCUUAACCCCGGAAUUGCCUUUAAGACUGCAUCGCUUGAAUCAUGGAGAGGUGAGUGGAAUUCCGAGUGUAGAGGUGAAAUUCGUAGAUAUUCGGAAGAACACCAGUGGCGAAGGCGACUCACUGGACAUGUAUUGACGCUGAGGUACGAAAGCGUGGGGAGCAAACAGG
rnacentral:rRNA from 1 species